GAAUAUUGCACAAUGGGGGAAACCCUGAUGCAGCGACGCCGCGUGAGUGUAGAAGUAUUUCGGUAUGUAAAGCUCUAUCAGCCGGGAAGAAAAUGACGGUACCUGACUAAGAAGCCCCGGCUAACUACGUGCCCGCCGCCGCGGUAAUACGGAGGGGGCAAGCGUUAUCCGGAUUUACUGGGUGUAAAGGGAGCGUAGGUGGCAAAUCAAGUCAGAUGUGAAAGCCCGGGGCUCAACCCCGGGAUUGCAUUUGAAACUGGUAUGCUAGAGUGCAGGAGAGGUAAGUGGAAUUCCUAGUGUAGCGGUGAAAUGCGUAGAUAUUAGGAGGAACACCAGUGGCGAAGGCGGCUUACUGGACUGUAACUGACACUGAGGCUCGAAAGCGUGGGGAGCAAACAGG
rnacentral:rRNA from 1 species